AUUUGAUCAGGCCUCAUCACACAUCUUACUUCCUGUCCUAGUCCCAGAGCUUGUAAAGGUGAUACCAUCAACUCUUAAAUU
ensembl:snoRNA SNORD22 Small nucleolar RNA SNORD22